rnacentral:rRNA from 1 species
CCGAUGGCGACCGGCGCACGGGUGAGUAACGCGUAUCCAACCUGCCCUUUACUAUGGGACAGCCCGUCGAAAGGCGGAUUAAUACCGUAUGUUGUCAUGUUGAUGCAUAUUUUCAUGACCAAAGGCUUCGGCCGGUAAAGGAUGGGGAUGCGUCUGAUUAGCUUGCCGGCGGGGUAACGGCCCACCGGGGCGACGAUCAGUAGGGGUUCUGAGAGGAAGGUCCCCCACAUUGGAACUGAGACACGGUCCAAACUCCUACGGAAGGCAGCAG